rnacentral:rRNA from 1 species
AUUGAACGCUGGCGGCAUGCCUUACACAUGCAAGUCGAACGGCAGCACGGGAGCAAUCCUGGUGGCGAGUGGCGAACGGGUGAGUAAAGCAUCGGAACGUGCCCAGUCGUGGGGGAUAACGUAGCGAAAGCUACGCUAAUACCGCAUACGAUCUGUGGAUGAAAGCGGGGGACCGUAAGGCCUCGCGCGAUUGGAGCGGCCGAUGUCGGAUUAGGUAGUUGGUGGGGUAAAGGCUCACCAAGCCGACGAUCUGUAGCUGGUCUGAGAGGACGACCAGCCAAACUGGGACUGAGACACGGCCCAGACUCCUACGGGAGGCAGCAGUGGGGAAUUUUGGACAAUGGGCGCAAGCCUGAUCCAGCAAUGCCGCGUGCAGGAUGAAGGCCUUCGGGUUGUAAACUGCUUUUGUACGGAGCGAAAAGGCUUCCACUAAUACUGGGGGCUCAUGACGGUACCGUAAGAAUAAGCACCGGCUAACUACGUGCCAGCCGCCGCCGUAACAC